AGUGAACGCUGGCGGCAGGCCUAAUACAUGCAAGUCGAACGGCAGCACGGCAGAGCUUGCUCUGUGGGUGGCGAGUGGCGGACGGGUGAGGAAUACAUGGGAAUCUGCCCAGUCGUGGGGGAUAACGUAGGGAAACUUACGCUAAUACCGCAUGCGCCCUUCGGGGAAAGCCGGGGACCUUCGGCCUGGCGCGAUUGGAUGAGCCCAUGUCGGAUUAGCUAGUUGGCGGGGUAAUGGCCCACCAAGGCGACGAUCCGUAGCUGGUCUGAGAGGAUGACCAGCCACACUGGAACUGAGACACGGUCCAGACUCCUACGGGAGGCAGCAGUAGGGAAUAUUGGACAAUGGGCGCAAGCCUGAUCCAGCCAUGCGCGUGAGUGAAGAAGGCCC
rnacentral:rRNA from 1 species